UACGUAGGGGGCAAGCGUUGUCCGGAAUCAUUGGGCGUAAAGCGCACGUAGGCGGCCCGGUAAGUCCGUUGUGAAAGUCAGAGGCUCAACCUCUGGAGGCCAAUGGAUACUGCCGGGCUAGAGUCCGGAAGAGGCGAGUAGAAUUCCUGGUGUAGCGGUGGAAUGCGCAGAUAUCAGGAGGAACACCAAUGGCGAAGGCAGCUCGCUGGGACGGUACUGACGCUGAGGUGCGAAAGCGUGGGGAGCGAACAGG
rnacentral:rRNA from 1 species